rnacentral:rRNA from 1 species
UACGUAGGGUGCAAGCGUUUAAUCGGAAUUACUGGGCGUAAAGCGUGCGCAGGCGGUUCGCUAAGACAGAUGUGAAAUCCCCGGGCUUAACCUGGGAACUGCAUUUGUGACUGGCGGGCUAGAGUAUGGCAGAGGGGGGGUAGAAUUCCACGUGUAGCAGUGAAAUGCGUAGAGAUGUGGAGGAACACCGAUGGCGAAGGCAGCCCCCUGGGUCAAGAUUGACGCUCAUGCACGAAAGCGUGGGGAGCAAACAGG